CCUACGGGGGGCUGCAGUGGGGAAUAUUGGACAAUGGGGGCAACCCUGAUCCAGCCAUGCCGCGUGUGUGAAGAAGGCCCUCGGGUUGUAAAGCACUUUCAGUGAUGAAGAACGCCUGGUGGUUAAUACCCAUCAGGAAAGACAUCACUCACAGAAGAAGCACCGGCUAACUCCGUGCCAGCAGCCGCGGUAAUACGGAGGGUGCGAGCGUUAAUCGGAAUUACUGGGCGUAAAGCGCGCGUAGGUGGCUUGAUAAGCCGGUUGUGAAAGCCCCGGGCUCAACCUGGGAACGGCAUCCGGAACUGUCAAGCUAGAGUGCAGGAGAGGAAGGUAGAAUUCCAGGUGUAGCGGUGAAAUGCGUAGAGAUCGGGAGGAAUACCAGUGGCGAAGGCGGCCUUCUGGACUGACACUGACACUGAGGUGCGAAAGCGUGGGUAGCGAACAGGAUUAGAUACCCUGGUAGUC
rnacentral:rRNA from 1 species